UACGGAGGGGGCUAGCGUUGUUCGGAAUUACUGGGCGUAAAGCGCGCGUAGGCGGAUCUGCAAGUCGGGGGUGAAAUCCCGAGGCUCAACCUCGGAACUGCCUUCGAUACUGCGGGUCUCGAGUCCGGGAGAGGUGAGUGGAAUUCCUAGUGUAGAGGUGAAAUGCGUAGAUAUUGGGAGGAACACCAGUGGCGAAGGCGGCUCGCUGGACCGGUUCUGACGCUGAUGCGCGAAAGCGUGGGGAGCAAACGGG
rnacentral:rRNA from 1 species